rnacentral:rRNA from 1 species
UACGUAGGGGGCAAGCGUUGUCCGGAUUUAUUGGGCGUAAAGAGCGUGUAGGCGGCCAGGCAGGUCCGUUGUGAAAACUCGAGGCUCAACCUCGAGACGUCGAUGGAAACCGUCUGGCUAGAGUCCGGAAGAGGAGAGUGGAAUUCCUGGUGUAGCGGUGAAAUGCGCAGAUAUCAGGAAGAACACCCGUGGCGAAGGCGGUUCUCUGGGACGGUACUGACGCUGAGACGCGAAAGCGUGGGGAGCGAACAGG